rnacentral:rRNA from 1 species
AUGUCUGACCAUUGCCCGCUUCUGCUGACCUACGAGCAUUCCGUGCCGCGCAAGGCCCGCUUUCGUUUCGAGGCGUUCUGGCCGCACAUCUCUGGGUUCAAGGAGGUAGUCGCCGCUGCAUGGAACGCGCCCGGGGUGUUUGGCGGCGCUGUCGCCAGGCUCGACACCAAGCUCAAGAGAACAGCCAAGGCGCUCAGACUCUGGCAAAAGCAUCAUAUCGGGAACACCAAGUUGCAACUCUUGAUGGCCCAGGACACGGUGUUGCUCCUUGACCAGGCCCAGGAGGUGCGGCAGCUUGAGCCUGAGGAGUCGGGGCUUCGCAAGGAGCUCAAGUCGCGCAUACUUGGCCUUGCGGUCAUCAAGCGCAUCAAAGCCCGGCAACGCGCCACAGUGAAGGACGUGAGUGCAGGCGACGCUAACACGAAGUAUUUCCAUAUCAAGGCAAAUGCCCGCAGGAGGAAGAACUUCAUAGCCUCCCUUGCGUUGGGCAGCGUCUUGGCCACGGAGCAGAGCCACAAGGAGCAGAUCGCCAGCGACUUUUUUGACCACCUCAUUGGCGAUCCAGGCUCGGCGACAACGGGGUUUAACUGGGAUGCGCUUGGGCUCCCUAGGGCCGAUCUCGCUACGCUGGAAGCCGAGUUCACGCGCGACGAGAUCGCGGCGGCCAUUGCGGAUCUCCCGGCGGAUAGGGCGCCAGGCCCGGAUGGCUUCUCCGACGCUUUCUUCAAAGCGGCUGCGGAGAUCAUCCUCGAUGACCUGGUGCUCGCCUUCCAGCAGCUUCAUAGUCUCAAUCGGGCUGGCCUGCAC